rnacentral:sRNA from 1 species
CUCACGUUCAUCAACACAGCUCAGCGCGUGUGUGUUGCUCAGCCCUAUAGGAGCUUUCUUCUACACAUUGUGUUUAAUGUGGGAGAUUAAGUGUAGUUUGUACUAAAAUGUAAACACUGAUUGAAUCUUUUGGUUAGGAAGACGUGAGCACAUUACAGUGUGUGGAGUUUGUACGAAGACGCUCCUGACACACAUGGCCAAGCCUGCUAACAUGAACUAUUCCAUUGCUCAAGGAACUCACCCCAAACCAAAAGUGACAUUCAUUGUCCCCAGAGAAUGUUUGCCCGGCACGUUCUAUCUGCACGCGGAGAAAGA